rnacentral:rRNA from 1 species
AUUGAACGCUAGCGGGAUGCCUUACACAUGCAAGUCGAACGAGUGGCGGACGGGUGAGUAAUAUCUCGGAACGUGCCCAGUAGAGGGGGAUAACUACUGGAAACGGUAGCUAAUACCGCAUACUAUCGGAUGUGCCCAUAUGGGAUUAGCUAGUUGGUGGGGUAAAGGCUCACCAAGGCAACGAUCCGUAGCUGGUCUGAGAGGACGACCAGCCACACUGGAACUGAGACACGGCCCAGACUCCUACGGGAGGCAGCAGUGGGGAAUAUUGGACAAUGGGGGAAACCCUGAUCCAGCCAUCCCGCGUGUAUGAAGAAGGCCUUCGGGUUGUAAAGUACUUUUGGCAGGGAGGCGUUACCCGCAGAAUAAGCACCGGCUAACUACGUGCCAGCAGCCGCGGUAAUUC